rnacentral:rRNA from 1 species
CCUACGGGGGGCAGCAGUGGGGAAUAUUGCACAAUGGGGGAAACCCUGAUGCAGCGACGCCGCGUGAGUGAAGAAGUAUUUCGGUAUGUAAAGCUCUAUCAGCAGGGAAGAAAAUGACGGUACCUGAUUAAGAAGCCCCGGCUAACUACGUGCCAGAAGCCGCGGUAAUACGUAGGGGGCAAGCGUUAUCCGGAUUUACUGGGGGUAAAGGGAGCGUAGACGGCAGCACAAGUCUGGAGGGAAAUGCCGGGGCUUAACCCCGGAACUGCUUUGGAAACUGUGCAGCUAGAGUGAAGGAGAGGUAAGUGGAAUUCGUGGUGUAGCGGUGAAAUGCGUAGAUAUUAGGAGGAACACCAGUGGCGAAGGCGGCAUACUGGACUGUAACUGACGUUGAGGCUCGAAAGCGUGGGGAGCAAACAGGAUUAGAUACCCUUGUAGUC